rnacentral:rRNA from 1 species
UACGUAGGGUGCGAGCGUUGUCCGGAAUUAUUGGGCGUAAAGGGCUCGUAGGCGGUUUGUCGCGUCGGGAGUGAAAUCCACUGGCUUAACUGGUGGCUUGCUUUCGAUACGGGCAGACUGGAGGUAUGCAGGGGAGAACGGAAUUCCUGGUGUAGCGGUGAAAUGCGCAGAUAUCAGGAGGAACACCGGUGGCGAAGGCAGCUCGCUGGGACGGUAUUGACGCUGAGACGCGAAAGCGUGGGGAGCGAACAGG